AUUCUCAUUCACCUGCCUUAACUAGAAUUUGCUUUUAGACUCUGAAAAUGCAUUUUAGCUUGUUUCAAUCCAAGUGAGUAUAUCAAGUGUAGUGGUCCUAGUUGAUCAUCUUUUGCAAAGUGAAAUAAUAUACAUGGUGCUAGUUGAUCAUCUUUCGAAAAGUGUAAUUGAUAGUAUUUUGUUUCUCUUUCUUCUUGGUCAAACCUGAAUGUUUAAUUCACUCAUUGCUGUUAAAAUCAGUCCCUGUCAUUGCCAAGUUACUAUUUAAUUCCAAAAGCAA
rnacentral:misc_RNA from 1 species